CAGUGAGCCAAGACUGUGCCAUUGCACUCCAGUCUAGUGACAGAGCGAGACUCCAUCUCAAAAGAAAAAAAAAGUGAUAAUAAUGAUAUUAAGCCUAAAUUAAAUGAGCUUUCCUUUGCUGCAUGAGCGUUCAGCCUAGUUUUGCUUUGUCAUGUAAUCUGAGAAAGGGGUGCAGGUUCAUGUGCUGUAAAAGUUUACAUGCUUGUGGACUUUAAUGUCUUAGUAGGUGAAUGUUAAGGAAUUGUAAGGUGAGAUACCCAGGGAACGUAUUUGCAUGCUCUUCACUUCCUUUCUAGAGAUAAUGGGUUCUUCUAAAUUAGGAACUUUGAAAAAUGGCAGGAGUUUUAUCAUUUUGGCCUGUGGUGAAGGAAGAUUCCCUCUCAUGACACUAAAAGCGAUGUUUCUGAAUUCCAAAUUUGGUGAUGCCACUCCCUGCUGAGAAUCCUCCUGGGGAUCCCAGGAGGAUUACAGAGCAAAGUAGAAACUUCACAGCUGGACCCGCAGGGCUGUCAGUGAGCAUCUUCCUGUUUCCUUCUCUAGGCUUGCCUCCUGCCACCUUCCCCACUCCACCUAUAUGCUCCAGCGACUCACAGCACUUUGGACAUGUCACAGCCAUUUCUACCUAAUCAUUUACCUCUUCCUGAAAUCCUCCAUUUGCUAGCUCAGAUAACUGAUAACUCUGAUAACUCAAUCAUACGUUCUUACCCAUUCAGUACUAACAGAGUUCUUCCUCUGAGGUUUUCUUGACCAGCUCCUCUCUCUCCAUCCCACCAUCUUCUGGGUCAUUGAAGAUGACCAUUGAAGCAUCCUGCAGUUUUCUCUCUCCCUGUAGUUUUCUCUCUCCCUAUAGUUAGCAAGCUUUAUUGCCAUUUGGGGGUUACUUUCUAUUAUUGUUGCUGCCUCUGGGACCUCCCUGAGGACAGGUAUUCUUCUCUAUAGACCUAGUGUACACACAGGACCAGGCACAUAGAAGGUCCUGCAUGCACGCUUGGUGACUUGGAAUGAAGGUAUGUUCUCCCACUAUGGUGUAUGGGUGGUGCUGGGCUGUCUCAGGGCCCUGCAAGUCCUGCUCUGCCUUGGCCUAGGAACAAAGCUUCCCACUUGAAUCUAGGGCAACACCAUCCCCCAGGGCUUUCCUCUAUCCUGAGAAUUAACUGUUUGUAUCCAGAUAAGACAUUUCUGGAAGGAUGUACCAUUACCACCUCCAUUAUCCCAUCCCAGGCAGACAUCUCUGGUAAAGCAGGGAAAUCCCAAAGGGACAGCUACCUUGUGGGGUAUCUCUGAGAACAUGUUUGCCCUGCUCCUGAGGGUUUGCUUGGGAAAGUACCUACUUCAAUGGGAAUAGAUGCCAGCUCUGCAAAUGGGGAUGCUGGCUUGGCAUCCCCACUCGCCUUGAGGCAAGCAGGAGGGUGUCUGGGCCCUCUUAGAGCAAUUCUUCUGCAGGUCCCUUGGCUAAACCCCACAUUCCCAGAUCUCAGUGUGGAUCUUCCGUCUCAGAGCUAGCAUUUUCUAACACAUUGUGUAGUUAUUAUGUGUACUGGCUAAAGCCUGGGUUCAGCUCUGGGCUUUGCCACUUCGUGCUAUGCAAUUUGGGUGAGCUUUCUAACGUUUAUUUUCUCUAUAUCCUCAUCUGUAACAUGGGGAGAAAAUAAUAAUACCUACCUCAAAGGAUUGUUUUGAGCAUUAAAUGAGUUAAUAGAUUAUACCUUGUACAUAGUAAAUGCUUAGUACACUUAGAAAUGUUAGUCAGAACUCAUGUCUAAUGCACUGUGUAGCCUUAGAAAAUCCCUUGCCCCAUCUCUUAGCUGGCCUUCUAGCAUCUGAGGGCCCUAGUUCUCUCCCAUUUCACCAGUCAGUCCCACCCUAGUUCGCUUCCAAACACUCAUGGCAUGUUAGCAGUGCAGCUGGGCACAGGUCUGGAAUCCCUCUCUGAACGAAGGGCCUUGACUGUAGUUUGGGUGAUAAUCUUGAUGAUUCACUUUUUCUCUUUUGAUUCUAAAGACCACCCCCUUGGGCGUGGGCUGGGAAAUACUCUGCAAUUUACAACAGUGCCAAUUCUUGGUGAGGCUCAUCUAAUUUUUAAAAUUCUUUUUAUUAUAUAUUUUUGGUAGGGGAUGUGGAAAAGUACUUGGUAGGAGAAAAGUAUCUGGAAACAAUGACCCAUAAAGACAUUCAUAAAGGUGUCUGAUCCUGGAAGGCAAAGAGAAGAGGCACAAGCUGAUGCUCCCUCCUGUCUCAGCCUCUGAAGCGGGUGGGGUCUUGGAAAACUUCUUGAUUCUGAUGGAACUUCUUUUAAUGGUCCUAGUACCCUAAGUAAUUACCCUUAAUAUGCAGGUGAAAUUUUCCAAUCUUUUCUGUGCUUUUUUGGCAUGCUUGAGUUUACAGUGGGUAUAUUGUGUAUUUUACUGUUUUUCACUUAACAUUAUAUCAUAAGCAUUUCCUCAACUUAUUAAAAAUUCUUUGUAACAUCAUUUUCUUGCUGUAGAAUAUUUAAUUGCAAGUCUGCAUCAUAAUUCUCUUAACAUUCCCCUAAUGAUGCAAAUUUAAAUAGUUCUAUUUUUUUUCUAUGGCAAAUAGAGCUGUUAUAAGCCUUUUUUAAACGGAAAUUUUGGCCCAUAUUUCAGCAUAUUGUUUUCAGGAUAGACUUUUAGAGGUAGAAUUUUUGGAUCAAAGAAUACGAACAGUUACAAGAUUCUUGGCACACUGCCACAUGUACUGUCAGAGAGGUCAUGCCCACGUUUAUAUUCACUAGCCAGUGCGAGCCUAGUGACUUUGGGUAAGAGUCUUUCAAAUGAUCUCUGGCCUAAUUUAAUAUGUUAAAAUGCAAUACACACAGGUACACCCAUAUUUACUACACAUAUAUAUGCACAUACAUGUAUAUAUACAAGUGUAUACAUAUACAUCUACCUAUCUAUAUCUAAAUCGAAUCUAUCUAUCUAUAUCUACAUCCCUAUAAAGUUGACCCUUGAACAAUGUGAGGGUUAGGAAUACCACCCCCAUCCCUACACAGUCAGAAAUACAUGAAUAAGUCUUUUGACUUUCCCAAAACUUAACUACUAAUAGAUUACUGUUGAGUAGACGCCUUACCUAUAACCUUAAUCAAUUGUUGUAUGUAUCAUAUAGUAUAUUCUCAUCAUAAAGUAAGCUAGAGAAAAGAAAACAUCACUAAGAAAAUCAUAAGGACUGCGUGAGGUGGCUUGCACUUGUAAUCCCAGCUACUUGGGAGGCUCAGGUGGGAGGGUUGCUUGAGCCCAGGAGUCCAAGGCUGCAGUGAGGUAUGAUUCUACUGCUGCACUGCAACCUGGGCAACAGAGAGAGACCUAUGUCUCAAGAAAAUUAUAAAGAAAGAAAAUCAUAAGGAAGAGAAAAUAUAUUUGAUAUAUUUACUAUUCAUUAAGUGCAAGUGGAUCAUCAGAAAGAUUUUCAUCUUCAUGUUGAGUAUGCUGAGGAGGAGGCGGGGUUGGUCUUGCUGUCUCAGGGGUGGCAGAGGUGGAAGAAAAUCUGCAUACGAGUGAACCUGCUCAGUUCAAAUCUGUGUUGUUCAAGGGUCAGUGGUGUAUAUAUACAUACAUAUAUACAAAUAUACAUGCAUAUAUGUAUUUUUUAUUAGUAAGGCAGCUGCACAUUUUUUUCCUGUUAGAAUCAUUUUUCAAUGGCAGGUGAUUAAUAGUGGGUGGAAUAAACAAGCUACAGAACUUCCUUCUACCUCCCUGGGGGGUAGCUGCUGUUAGCUGCCAAGAAUUCCAAUUCAGCUUUGCUAUUUAAAAUCUCCAGCCUUGUUUUAAAAAUCAAACAUGUCUGUGAGGGGAAAAUCUCUCUCCAUGUAAACAAACAAAAAAUAUCUUUCUGAUAAUACAUUUCAACAGGGUAUUGAAAGGAAUGAAAAAUACUCAUGGUAAAGAGCUUUCUUCACUUUUAGGCACCUCUGCAUCUCACUACAUUGGCUAAUUCUAAGUUUAAGGAAGAAGAAAGGAGCAAGGUUUAUCAACCCCCACCCCCCCCUUUUAUUGGGGGUUUUUUUGUUUGUUUGUUUUUGAGACAGAGUCUCACUGUGUCACCCAGGCUGGAGUGCAAUGGCCCAAUCUUGGCUUACUGCAACCUCUGCCUCCUGGGUUCAAGCAGUUCUCCUGCCUCAGCCUCCUGAGUAGCUGGGAUUACAGACACGCGCCACCACAACUGGCUAAUUUUUGUAUUUUUAGUAGAGACAGAGUUUUGCUAUGCUGGCCAGGCUAGCCUCCAACUCCUGGUCUCAAGUGAUCCACCCACCUCGGCCUCCCAAAGUGCUGGGAUUACAGAUGUGAGCCACUGCACCUGGCCUAUCACCCCUUUUUUACUAAUGAGGAACAAAACUCCAAGAGGAGAGCCACCUGACUCUGCUCCAUGUCAUCUCCCAGGAGCUGCCUUGUCUUAUUCACCUAGUGAGUAUCAACUGCAAGACACCAACAGAUUCAUUCAAUUGUCAGCCCACAUGUGGUGUCUAGUAAUUGCACAGGUACCCAGUAUUGAAUGGAUGACUAGUAUUGCUCUGGUAUCUAGUAUUGCACAAAUAUCUAGUAUUGCACAGGUGCCAGUAUUGAUCAGAUGCUAGUACUGCACAGCUAUACCCAGUAUUACACAGGUACGUAUUGCCCAGGUGCAAACAUUGUUUGAUGCCAAUGUUGUACAGCUGUCCAGUAUUGCAUGGGAGCCAGUAUUGCUCAGGUGCCCAGUAUAGAAUAGGUGCUCAGUAUUGCAUAGGGGCCAGUAUUGCACAGGUAUUCUGCAUAGCACAUGUGUUGAUAUUACUCAGAUGCUAGUGGUACACAGCUGUUCAGUACUGCUUAGAUGCUAGUAUUGUACAGGUGCCAGUAUUGCCCAGGUGGCUAGUAUUCCACAGCUAGCCAGCAUUGCACAGGUGCCCAGUAUGGAACAGAUGAUAGCAUUGCACAGGUAUCCAGUACUUAUAACAUAUGUGAAGCCUGCUCCCUCUGGCAUCUCCAUGACCUCAUUUCUUAGGAAAAUGAGAAAGUGGGACACGAGUCCCAUACUGGAUUUUAUGACCUUGUCUGAAACACUUGCCUGACUUCUAGCACAGCCUUUUUUUGGUCUCAUGUUCUCACAUGGGCACAGGAUGGCAUUCCGACCUGAGAAGCGUGUCAGAGCUGAGCCGGGGAAGAGUAGUGAACUUGGAAUCAUCUACAUUUUCUUCCCUCCUGUGUCCCUCCCACCACACACUCCACACACAUGCCUCGGCAUCCCUUUCGGCUCUCCUGUCUCCAGAUGAAGAGGGAAGGUGGUGGGCCUUCUCACUAUUCUCCCUGCUUCCUCCCUGCCUGGAGGGACGUACUUGGCAGAGAGCUUUCUAAUACUCAUCCCAAAGAAGAAAACUUGCAGGGUAAAAUUUCUGACUCAGGUCAAAAGUCUGGGUGGAAUGGCCUUCCCCCUGGCCUCCCAGAGGCAUAGAGGCCAGGCCUCAUGAGGUAGCCCUUCUGAAUCCUUUGCUUUCAUUUUCUCUUUGGGAUCCUGGUUAGGUAUCUUUUGUUGCAGAGGAGCUGCAGAUGUGUCUAUGUGAUACUUAAAAACUUGGUUUAUUCCAUAGAGAUUUUAGUACAAAGGCAGAUGAACGGUCUUCAUCCACAAACUCAACAGGUCUAGUUUGAUCUUUUGCUCCAGGGGCUAUUGUGUUCUGUACACAUGGUGCUUCAUAACCAAUUCAGGGUCAUAUUGAUUCACAAUUGUGUUAAAAGAGGAUUUUGGUGCUCACUUACGCAGCACAUAUACUAAAAUUGGAAUGAUACAGAGAUUAGCACGGCCCCUGUGCACGGAUAACAUGCACAUUCAUGAAGCGUUCCAUAUUUUUAUUUAAAAAAAAAAUUAACUGGAUUUUGUCUCAUCCUGAAAGAUCUCUCAUAAGGUGCUUUUCCCUGUUCAGGCCUCAGUAAUUUCUAGGCUGUCUUCCUCCCCAGAGUACAACCUCUAAUUCCUCUCAACAUUGGAUGCAACAUAAUUUGCAAAUCUGACCAUAUCUGCACCCACUUUCCUCCUGUAAAGGGCUCUUACCACCUUCAAUUACAGCAUAGUGGCCAGCCCCCUCAUUAGCUGGUUCUUUGCAGUCUCUGUGUCGGAGUCAUCCUUGGUUACUUCCAUACAUGCCUGAAGCUGCAGGAAGAACUGCACACUUGCAGGUUCCAAUAUCACCUCGAUUUCUCUGCAUUUGUCAUCCCCUCACCUAGAUAGCUCCUUCAAAACCCAUGUCAGAAUUCUCCCUCCAACAAUCCUUCCCUGACUUCCCCUCAGGCCAUUUGGUCCUCUGUGAUGGAACCCUUGCAGCUUGAACUAUUUUAACACAUCUCUUAUUGCAGCCAGUGUCCUCCAGGGAGCCAGUAAGGCCUUGCUCAGCUCCAAAUCUCUGGCAUUGCACCACCUGUAGUGUAAAUGCAGAGAACAUUUGUGUUCCGAAUGAAGGAAUUAAUGGUGUUAUCUCUGCCUGGGAGCUGAGGUCUGGAUGCCUACCAUCCUUUCACCCUAACACCUCCAUUUGUUACCUUAAGAAGACAAUGUCCGUGCACUGCAGCUAUGAACAAAAUGGUCCUUCCUGGGCUGAGCGCGGUGGCUCACGCCUGUAAUCCCAACACUUUGGGAGGCUGAGGUGGGCGAAUUACCUGAGGUCAGGAGUUCAAGGCCAGCCUGGCCAACAUGGUGAAACCCCUUCUCUACUAAAAAUACAAAAAAUUAGCUGGGCAUGGUGGUGGACGCCUGUAAUCCCAGCUACUUGGGAAGCUGAGACAGGAGAAUUGCUUGAACCUGGGAGGCGGAGGUUGCAGUGAGCCGAGAUUGCAUCAUUACACUCCAGCUUGGGCAACGAGAGCAAAACUCUGUCUCAAAAACAAAACAAAACAAAACAAAACAAAAAAGGUCCUUCCCUGGAGAAAGGAGUGGCCUCACUCUGACUUGGGGAAUCUCAGUAAGCCCAGAGGAAGCUUUAUCUU
rnacentral:lncRNA from 1 species